AUCGAUACAGACUGUAAGAUUUUGUGCUACCUGUUUUGCUCCUGUAGAGUUUAAACACCGUAGAUAUUUCCCUUGCUUUUUACAUCAGUUUUUGUGAAGAUCAGCGACAUUCCAAGAUCUUUGACAGCUUUGACAGCUAGUACCUCUGGGGCAUGGUUUAGCCACCGGUCGAAGCAUUUCUAUGGCUGGAACUUGCCGAUGAUGGUGCAGCCAAGCAGGGGCUAUAUCAGGAACCUGCUCAAGGUGAGCCCAGGGCAUUGAGAUCAGCAGUGAACCAUGAACCUCUCCACAAUGGAUGAAAAGUGUAACUACACCGCAGGCCCGCUGGAGAAACGCCACCUCCCUGUCAUGUAUUCUCUCAUCAGCUUCACCGGAGUACUGGCCAAUUGCUGGAUUUUACUAAUAUUUCAAAAGCGAUUCUCAAGGAAGUGUGGUGUGCACAUCUACCUGAUGAACCUCUCGGUGGCCGAUUUGAUCAUUUGCCUGGCUCUGCCUGUCAGAGUCGCACUGCUGGUGAUGGGAGACACCUGGAUAGAGAGCUCAGGGAGAUGCAUUACCAUCACCAUGAUCCUCAAUCUUUGUUUCUACUGUACACUUGCCUGCCGGACGCUGUGCUUAAUAUUCAUAGGCUUUAGCCGAUAUGCAGUAAUUGUAAAGUUCCCUGACAAGAAGUUCAAUGCAUUGUACCAACUCACUUUUGCUAAGUUCGCCUGUGCGGCUUUCUGGAUUGCAGGCAUCUUAAUUGUGACAAUCUGUUCAAUUUACACAUUGAAAUCAAUGAGUACAUCUGGAUUUCAAUGCUACAG